rnacentral:rRNA from 1 species
AUUGAACGCUGGCGGCAGGCCUAACACAUGCAAGUCGAGCGGCAGCGGAAAGUAGCUUGCUACUUUGCCGGCGAGCGGCGGACGGGUGAGUAAUGUCUGGGAAACUGCCUGAUGGAGGGGGAUAACUACUGGAAACGGUAGCUAAUACCGCAUAACGUCGCAAGACCAAAGAGGGGGACCUUCGGGCCUCUUGCCAUCAGAUGUGCCCAGAUGGGAUUAGCUAGUAGGUGAGGUAACGGCUCACCUAGGCGACGAUCCCUAGCUGGUCUGAGAGGAUGACCAGCCACACUGGAACUGAGACACGGUCCAGACUCCUACGGGAGGCAGCAGUGGGGAAUAUUGCACAAUGGGCGAAAGCCUGAUGCAGCCAUGCCGCGUGUAUGAAGAAGGCCUUCGGGUUGUAAAGUACUUUCAGCGGGGAGGAAGGCGAUAAGGUUAAUAACCUUGUCGAUUGACGUUACCCGCAGAAGAAGCACCGGCUAACUCCGUGCCAGCAGCCGCCGUAAAAC